rnacentral:snoRNA from 1 species
AUGGAAGUGAUGUGCAGUCUUCAACCUGAUAACAAUGAUGGGUUGUUGUAUUCAUACUGUCUGAUCCAU